CAAUGUAAUACUACUGAAUAUUAAUGACAGGCAGAGCCUAGAUUCUCUCUUUUGUUAGUCUGAUAAUUUCCAAUCUGGGAGAGGGAAAAUUCCAUGCACUUGAUGUACAUGGAUUAGGCUUGUGAAAUUAGUUCAUUUUCUUCUUCAGCACUAAUCUAACAUUACAAAAAGUUACGGACAAGCUGCUGUGGUAUUAAAUGAGAGGAUAAGAGCUCUUCAUAUUCCUCUUGAGAACACUUAACAAGUGUCUACUACCAUACUCACUGAUCAUCCUCCUGAUCAUGAUCAGCUAAGCUAUUUUAUUCAGAGGUCUCAUCUAUUACAAAAUAUGAAGCAGAACCCAUGA
rnacentral:lncRNA from 1 species